rnacentral:rRNA from 1 species
CCUCUGAUUAGCUGGAUACCCAACCAUCAACCGUUUGCUGGUAGGGGCAUGCCUCGGCAUGAGUUGCA